rnacentral:lncRNA from 1 species
AAAGAACGUGAAAUGAGUAAAGAACAUGAAAGCUAAAGAUAGCCAAAAGCAAAGAAAUGUAAAGAACUUGAUUGCUAGAGUUAGCAACAUAAAGUGAUGUAAAGAACACUAGAGUUAGUGUAAUGACAAGAUUGAACUUACAAUCCUUUGAGUUAAGGAUUCGAUCAUACUUGCUAUGAGUUCCGUGCUCGAGGGCGGUCGCUCCCCCUCGGGCGAUGCGCUCCGGAGUUAUGCAUCACGGGUUGGAGUAAACCCGAAGGACGGUCCUAGCGGGUGAGUUCCUGCGAUGAUGGACUUAAUGUGAAGCAAGCUUAAAGUGGCGAAACCCCCGGGUUAGCCUUGAGAUUAAAGAACAGAGAGCAAAGAGUAAAGGAUAAAGAAUAAAGAACAAAGAGUAAAGACAAAGAAUGAAAGAACUUGCAUAAUUUGCAUAUAUUCAAUGUUGAGCAUAUUUCCUGCUUUUGUUCAGGCAUAUUAGCAUCAUAUUAUAGUUGGUUACUAUUCUACCUAUCCUUUCUAUUAUGCCUGAGUUAGUCCUAGUGGGAAAGUCGGUGAUGUUGAGGCCGAACCCACUGGGAACUUUGUUGUAGUUCUCACCCCACUAUUUCCACAGAGCCGGGACCGAGCGAGCCGGCGAGCGACCGAGGUAAAGGUAUCGCGCCUUAGACAGAGGCCACCAGAGUUGGGUUUACCUUUUGUUAGUAGCUACCCUAUGUUCAUC